rnacentral:misc_RNA from 1 species
GGCUACUGGUUUGGCACCUAAUAACACAACGGAUCAACCAUCCUUGAAGCUUCAAUACAGUCCCUAGGCGGAGUUAACCAAUUGUAUCGUUUUCUCAAACCUACAUUUUCCAAUUCCUGUUGGAAUUUUAUCCCUCGUUUCCCAGCUUGUUAGAAGUUAUUUGGUAGAUUAGAUCCCGUCAGAGUUACAUUUGAGGUGAUAUUUCUUCCAUCU